rnacentral:tRNA from 1 species
GGUCUUAUAGUCAAAUAUGACAUUAAAUUGCAAAUUUAAAAGUAAUUAAAUAAAUUUAAGGCUU